rnacentral:rRNA from 1 species
UAUUGCACAAUGGGCGCAAGCCUGAUGCAGCGACGCCGCGUGAGGGAUGACGGCCUUCGGGUUGUAAACCUCUUUCGCUCACGACGAAGCGUAAGUGACGGUAGUGAGAGAAGAAGGACCGGCCAACUACGUGCCAGCAGCCGAGGUAAUACGUAGGGUCCGAGCGUUGUCCGGAAUUACUGGGCGUAAAGAGCUCGUAGGUGGUUUGUCGCGUCGUCCGUGAAAACUCACAGCUUAACUGUGGGCGUGCGGGCGAUACGGGCAGACUGGAGUACUGCAGGGGAGACUGGAAUUCCUGGUGUAGCGGUGGAAUGCGCAGAUAUCAGGAGGAACACCGGUGGCGAAGGCGGGUCUCUGGGCAGUAACUGACGCUGAGGAGCGAAAGCGUGGGGAGCGAACAGG